ensembl:misc_RNA Y_RNA Y RNA
GGUUGGUCCGAGUGCAGUGGUGUUUACAACUAAUUGAUCACAACCAGUUACACAUUCCUUUGUUCCUUCUCCACUCCCACUGCUCCAGUUGACCAGCCUUAA